rnacentral:rRNA from 1 species
UUUGAACGCUGGCGGCAGGCCUAAUACAUGCAAGUCGAACGAGUGGCGGACGGGUGAGUAAUGUCUGGGAAAACGUCCGAUGGAGGGGGAUAACUACUGGAAACGGUAGCUCAUACCGCAUACCAUCGGAUGUGCCCAGAUGGGAUUAGCUAGUAGGUGGGGUAACGGCUCACCUAGGCGACGAUCCCUAGCUGGUCUGAGAGGAUGACCAGCCACACUGGAACUGAGACACGGUCCAGACUCCUACGUGCGGCAGCAGUGGGGAAUAUUGCACAAUGGGCGAAAUCCGGAUUAUGCCAUGCCGCGUGAAUGAAGAAGGCCUUCGAGUGGUAAAGUACUUUCAGAGAGGAGGCGUUACUCACAGAAGAAGCACCGGCUAACUCCGUGCCAGCAGCCGCGGUAAUUC